rnacentral:rRNA from 1 species
UACAGAGGGUGCGAGCGUUAAUCGGAAUUACUGGGCGUAAAGCGCGCGUAGGCGGCUUUGCAAGUCGGGUGUGAAAUCCCCGGGCUUAACCUGGGAAUGGCAUUUGGGACUGCAAGGCUCGAGUGCGGCAGAGGAGACUGGAAUUCCUGGUGUAGCAGUGAAAUGCGUAGAUAUCAGGAGGAACACCGAUGGCGAAGGCAGGUCUCUGGGCUGACACUGACGCUCAUGCACGAAAGCGUGGGGAGCAAACAGG